rnacentral:tRNA from 1 species
GCCUAGCUGGCUUAGUUGGUAGAGCAUGUGACUUUUGAUCUCAGGGUUGUGAGUUCAAGGCCCACUUUGGGUG